rnacentral:misc_RNA from 1 species
GAUGAAGAACGGCAGCGAAAUGCGAUAAGUAAUGUGAAUUGCAGAAUUCAGUGAAUCAUCGAAUCUUUGAACGCAACUUGCGCCCUCUGGUAUUCCGGAGGGCAUGCCUGUUUGAGUGUCAUGUAGACUCAAUCCCUCGGGUUUCUGAGGAGGUUGGAUUUGGGUGCUUGCCUUCUGGCUCGCCUUAAAGGACUUAGCAGGAUAGCACUGUAGUCGACGUAAUAAGUCUCGUCGGUGAAAGUGUGAUGUCUGCUUACAGAUUGCCCUUGGGCACUUUUGACUCUGACCUCAAAUCAGGUAGGACUACCCGCUGAACUUAAGCAUAUCAAUAAGCGGAGGA